AUUGAACGCUGGCGGCAGGCCUAACACAUGCAAGUCGAACGAGUGGCGGACGGGUGAGCAAUGUCGGGGAAACUGCCUGAUGGAGGGAGAAAACUGCUGGAAACGGUAGCUAAUACCGCAUACCAUCCGAUGGGCCCAGAUGGGAUGGGCUAGUAGGUGGGGUAAAGGCUCACCUAGGCGACGAUCCCUAGCUGGUCUGAGAGGAUGGCCAGCCACACUGGAACUGAGACACGGUCCAGACGCCUACGGGAGGCAGCAGUGGGGAAUAUUGCGCAAUGGGCGAAAGCCUGAUGCAGCCAUGCCGCGUGUAUGAAGAAGGCCUUCGGGUUGUAAAGUACUUUCAGCGGGGAGGCGUUACCUGCAGAAGAAGCACCGGCUAACUCCGUGCCAGCAGCCGCGGUAAUUC
rnacentral:rRNA from 1 species